GGUAAUUGUAACAUGGGUUAGGGGGGUUGGCAUCACUGCUACAUUCCUCGGCUGACUGUUCACUGCCUCUGUCACCCGUGUUUGUCUGUGCGGUCGGUUAACUGAGUUAGGUGUUGUGUCCAGCGGUGGUACUACGUCCUUUUAUUCUGCAAAUCUCCCCACUAACCCGGAUAGCUAUUGGAUGUCAAGAAGACAGUUGGAAUAUUGAUUUAAGUCAAAUAUCGCAAAUACCGAGAGGAGGUAUGGACGGUCACGGCCAAUAUGGGAAACUGGAGCAUUAUGUCCUCUCCGAAUACGUUAUGGAGCAACACAGCUAUCCACGCCCACAUCCGACAGUCCAAGGCCAAGCUGUAAUAUCUAAUGUAGGGAAUAAGUACUCUGAGAUACCGAUUGACUUGUCAAGGAAAUGCAGUAGAUGUGGAGCAGUGUAUACUCUGCAAAGAAAUGGGAAAACUAAGCCAGGAGCAUGUCAUUAUCAUCCCAACAAGAAACCUGGCCCCAAUCAGACUUACAGAUGCUGUGGAGGCAAGUCCACAGCAAAGCCAUGCAUGAAGGGCCAAUACCAUGUUCAUGAGUCCAUAGACUUGGACAAUAUGAAGGGUUUCCUGCUAACAAAAGACAACACUUCUGUAACAGCUUCAGAAGCCUUUGCUGUUGAUACGGAAAUGAUAUACACAGAAGGGGGUUUAGAAGUCGGAUGCUUGUCGGUUGUCAACACCAAACGCCAAGUUGUGUAUCAGACGAAUGUUGUCCCAGAUAAUCCCGUUUUGGAUUACAACACAUGGUUUUCAAAACUCAAGCCUUCAGACUUCAAUGGGGAGACAACCACUAUGGAAGAUGUCCAUAGAAAACUGUUGACCCUUUGGGGUCCUAACACCGUCCUCGUGGGUCACGGACUAGGAAGAGACUUGAUUAAACUGAGAGUGAUUCAUGAUAAAGUUGUGGAUAUUCGGGUAUUAUAUCCACACAAGAAAGGGCCUCCUUUUAUAAACAGUCUGCUGAGUUUGAAGGAUACAUAUUUACCAUAUCUAAGAUAUCCGACAGAUUGUUACAAAUGCAGUAAGGAUGCAAUCGUAGCCAUGGAGCUUGCUCUACGAAUGGCUUAAAGAUCUCGCUGGUCAAGUAUCAGACGGCUAGACGAGGGCGCAUGCGUCGUCAGGCGUGUUUCCACAGCUAAGAAUUAUAGGUAUCAGAUCAUUAAUUAUAUUUCAUUUCAUUGUGAACCCAGAUUCUGCUGGAAUUGCAGCCGAGUUUAGUGCUCAACUUUUGCACUCAAAUCGUGCUAGAAUCUCAAGUGAAGUGCAUUUUCAAAUUGGAUUUCUCUAGUGAAGACGACUGACUGGCUAGAUAGUAUUUUAUGUGUAUUAAGUCUUGACCGUAUCACAAGCGAGUGUUGACUAGAUUUUGUUGAGAUUAUUGAUGCCAAAAUUCAAAUGACAUUAUAACUAGAGUAAUUUCACUUUACCACUGCCAGUUCGCCAGUGGUUUAAGUGUUUAAUCCUUAAGAAGUUUUUGUAGCAAAAGAUGUGUUAUUCAUUUCGCUAGUAGUCUUGAGUUAUGAUAAUUUGAUGUU